AAAAGUAAUAAUAAAUGUAGGUGGUCAAAUAUUUAUUACUAAAAGGAGCACUCUUCAACGAUAUCCAGAAACAAAGUUAUCAAACAUCUCUGAAACCUGUGAACAUUUUGAUGAAACUACUGAAGUGUACUUUUUUGAUAGGAAUCCAUUGAUAUUCCAAUCGGUACUAGACUAUUAUCGAACUGGAAAACUUCAUUUUCUGUCUAACAUCUGCGCAGAACAAAUUCGUGAUGAGCUUGAAUUUUGGGAAAUAUCAACCACUGAUCUUGGCCCAUGUUGUUGGAAAUAUUUCUAUACCGUUGAUAGUGACUUGAAAACCUGCAAUGUUAUCGACAAAUACUUUUUUCAAAACAAGUGUUUUCGUUACAGUUCGAAAAGCCCUCUUAUAAAUAUCAAAAGCAGGAUAUUGAAUGUACUGGAAAAUCCAAGGUCAUCGAAAGUUGCAUUAGUAAGUUUUUAAUGUAGUUAAAAUAAAGUUUGAGACAUUUUUUGGAUAAAUUUAACGAAAUAAAAACAAAAGUCAGAGGCUGGAAGCUUUUAGUCGAUUUAUAGUCAUAAUAGUAUUCUUUGGAACACUUGUACUAUAACAAUAUAACCAAAACAUAUGUGGAGGUUUCUGUUCAGACAAUAAAAACACCUUCAUACCACUAAGAUAACAAAAACAAAUCUCAUUAUUAAAAAUUCAAACGUAUUAGUUAUUACUUCUUGUUUAUAAUAUUUGGUGUAUUCUUCUGAUAAAUAUUUAGCCAACGCUACGUUACUAUUUGUUCUUAAGUUUGUCAGUUACAUAUUUUUAACAUUAAAUUUAUUAUUAUAAUUUGUUUUAGGUAUGGCAGAUAUUUUACCUGAGUGUUGUGUGCCUAGCGAUACUUGUAUCAGUAAUACAAUCAUUUGAGUUGACUGGUAUAAAAACAAAGGAACAUAAAAAUGUUACAGCAGAGGAAAGCAUGAUAGAACGUCUAACUGAUCACGAAAACUGGAUUGGCGUUGUAACUCACAUAUGCAACGUGAUUUUCACAUUAGAAACAGCGCUACGUUUAGCAACUUGUCCGUGCAAAGUAGAUUUUUUUCGAAGCUUUUUAAACAUUGUUGAUAUCAUGUCUGUAUUUGGAUAUUUUGCGCACAUUAUAGUUAGUGCCUUACCAGAUUCAAACGAAUCAGUCUUCAUUUUCUCGUACGCUUUGGUAAUUUUGCGCGGUUUCAGAUUUUUCCGUCUUGAGCGUUUUAUAGAAGGUUUACGUAUAAUGCUUCUGUCGAUAAAACAAAGUAAGAAGAUGUUGUCCCUACUUAUUUUGGUUUUGAUUAUUUCAGCCAUUAUAUUUGGUAUCACUAUACAUAUUGUAGAAAUGAAUGGACCUUUCACAGAUCCAAUCAGCAGUUUUUAUUGGGCUCUCAUCACUAUGACAACAAUCGGUUACGGAGAUAUUUACCCCAAAACAAAAUAUGGACAGAUUUUAGCAUCAGUGUGUGCAACGUUCGGCCUGUUCCUGUUGAGCAUGCCAAUUGCGGUUGUUGCCAAUACUUUCACCGACUUAUACAAAAGAUAUUGUGAACAUCAAUGUCAUUUACUUCUUCAAAGUAAACGAAGCUGGUGUAAAAAUGGAACUACGGAAUUGAUUCCAAUCAAAUACUGAUGCAGAAUUUUGAACUAUUAUUUCAUAAUAUGCUUUUCAGUUACAUAAAACAUUUGAAUAAGAAACAUACUUUAUCGUAUUUCUUAUCUAUUUCAACUAAUAAAAACUAAGCAAA
rnacentral:lncRNA from 1 species